rnacentral:ncRNA from 1 species
UAUUCUGAUGGAGCAUCAACUUUAAGUACAACUCAAGUAUUGAUCCGCCCCGUAAUUCUAUGUAUAUCAUGCGUUACUGCUAGCCAACAUGAAUAUUAUAUA